AUAGAAACUCAUGGGCAUCUGAUAUGCCACUGUGUGUGUGUCUGUCUAUCUGUCUCUGCCUGCCUCCGUAUCUGUUGGUCUUCUUUCUGUCUGUCUGAUUUGAGGGACCUGGGCUUCCCAUUGUGGACUGUCACAUCUCAGCUGGCUGGCAGAAUGGUCAUCUGCAACAGUCAAUAGUCUUGAGUUCUCACCAUACCAAUCAUGGGCUGGCUCUGUCUGAAUUUCCCCUGGCAGAGUAAUUCCCUGAUUUUUCCACAACUUCUGUCGGGCUCUUAAAAGGCUCAAACCCCAGUGCUGGAGGCAUGCAUCAAAGGCUAUGUAGGAUGGUAUCCAGUGGCUGACCAAGGAAAGGACAGGAGGCCAGAGGCUCCAGCUAGUAUGAGGUAGUGUGUGGGAGUCAGUGAGGCCAAGGGGAAAAAGUGGUUUCAGACGUCUCUAAGGGAAAGGUGAUUGGCUGCUGAGAGGAGCUAUCCUGGGCUUUGCCUCAGCUUGCAAAUGCCCAGUGUUCACUGUGUGUGCAUGUGGGUGGGUAGGUGGGUGGGUGCCAUGGUCCCUGUGUGGAGGUUAGAGGACGGCCUUUGGGAGUUGGUUCUUCUCCAGUGACUCUAGGGAUCCAAGCAGGACAAGUGCUUUUCUGCUGAACUCUAUGUAUCCAGGGUUUGGUUUGGCUUUUGUUUUUUGGAUUUUUUGUUUGUUUGUUUGAUUGGUUGGUUUGGUUUAAUUGUUAUUGUUUAAAAAAAAAAAAACAACAACAUAGGUUCUGGGGAUUGAAUGUUGGUCCCCAUACUUGCAAGGCAAACACUUUACCAACUGAUAUAUGUCUUCAGUCCCGAGCCGGGUGUGGUGGCGCACGCCUUUAAUCCCAGCACUCGAGGCAGGCAGAUUUCUGAGUUCGAGGCCAGCCUGUCUACAGAGUGAGUUCCAGGACAGCCAGGGCUACAGAGAAACCCUGUCUCAAAAAACAAAACAAAACAAAACAACCAAACCAAACCAAACCAAACCAAAAAAACCUAUGUCUUCAGAUUGUUUGUGGCUGAGGGACAUUUGUUCAUCCUGUGGAGAUGGAAAGCAGAUAACUAGUCACUCUUGACAAAGCCUACACCUUGUUCCCGGGGCUGAGGUUCUUUCUUUGUCCUGUGAUUUAUUAUUUUAUCUUACUUUUGCUAUCAUAGUAUUUGCUUGGACACUGAUUUUCUCAGGAAAACAGUGACUGGAGCCUCAAAAAAAAAAGUCUUGUCUCUUGCAGGCCUGGCUGACUACACCAAGGCCUAGACUGCCUCCUUUAUUCCCUGGGGGCCUUCUGGGACAGAAUGACCAGGGUGGUUAUUGAAAGUGUGGGCAGGUGACACAGGUGGUUCUUACAAGAAAGUGUGACCAUUCUCUACAAGAACACCUUCUUCCCGCAGGACAGACAUCCAGGGACUUGUUGAUCCAACCAGUCAGGAUUUCCUGCUUAAUGGUGGGACUGAGACCAGCUUGCAAUGCCCAUGACCUCAUCCAGCUCAGGGGUGGGCUCACCAGGGGACUGGGGUGCAGGAUCUCUAUAGGGAGUGGAGUGGCCCUGGAAUGGACUCCCAUAGUUAGUUCCCCAGGAGAAUAGAACAAUUUGGGGGCAUGUAUAAGGGUGAGGACAGGCCACUAAAAGCAGUGACUUCUGUCAGAGGCACCACCUUUACCUCCCUCAGCAGAUCGUGAGGGACAGCAGGCUGCCUGCCACUCACUGCUGGCUGCCCAGGAGCCACAGUGCCGUCUUGGUUGUAGCUGCUGGGUACUGGUACCCAGGCUUAGACAGUGAUGAAACCUUCUCUACCUUAGCUCCACGGAGGCUCGGUGGGGCCCAGAGCAAUCAAAUGGAUGGGCUGUCUUGAGGAAUUCUAGGAUCUUGUGCUAGCCUCUGACUGGAUGCCUCGUGCAGGCAGGAGCAUCCUUAUGCAUUUACUUGUACAGGGUUCUCUCGCUGUCCCCAGGGAAGUGGCACUGUGUGUGUAUACUUAUGUAUGACUGGGGUUUGCUCUAUAACCCAGGUUAGCUUUGAACUCUUUCUGCCUCAGCCUCACAAGUAUGGGAUUAUAGACAUGAACGGCCUUGCUCUCCAAAGGGAGUGGCUUUUUACGCAAACCCAGAAGGCAGUCUUUUCAGAGGCAGCAGAUUUCAAAAUCUGAUUUUUGAAUCUGGUUUGAGCAGGAUGAAAUGGAGUGAGGCUCACAUACAUGGUGGGAACUCCCAGAGGUUGUCUUAAAUCAGCACGCAUGUGCACAUGUGUAUGUGUGCAUGUAUAUACAUGGGUGUGUGUACCUACUCACCUGUCACCCACUCUUCACUUCCUCACAGUCCCCUGUUUGUUGAUGGUGCUCACUCUUCAUCUUCUGGGUCCCAUUGUUUCUCAUGCAUGGCUUUGCCUGUACUCACCCCACCUGCUCUCUCUCCUCCUCACCCCCUCACCUCUCAGCUUUGCUCUUGUCUUAUUUUUAACCCAUAAAAACUAUGCUUACUGUCAGGCGGUGGUGGUGCACGCUUUUAAUCCCAGUGCUCAGGAGGCAGAGGUAGGCAGAUCUCUGUGAGUUCAAGGCUAGCCUGGUCUACAAAGAGAGUGUGUGUUCCAGGAUAGCCAGAGCUAUACAGGGAAACCCUGUCUGGGAAACAAAGCAAAAUCAUGUUUAUGAAUAAUCUGUGCCAAGGUUUAUGCUCCAUGAAAAGGCUGUGUCAUAGGAGGUGAUGUUUAGUUUGGAGAUUGGAGAAAUUACUUACAUAAAAGCAGGUGAAAACUUCACACACUGUAGCCCGGUAAUAUGUACACAUUUGCCUUAUAUAUCAGUUUUUUUUAAUUAAAAAACACUU
rnacentral:lncRNA from 1 species